rnacentral:rRNA from 1 species
GUGGGGAAUCUUCCGCAAUGGGCGAAAGCCUGACGGAGCAACGCCGCGUGAGUGAAGAAGGGUUUCGGCUCGUAAAGCUCUGUUGACGGGGACGAAUGUGCGGGAUGCGAAUAGUUUCUCGCAAUGACGGUACCCGUCGAGGAAGCCACGGCUAACUACGUGCCAGCAGCCGCGGUAAUACGUAGGUGGCGAGCGUUGUCCGGAAUUAUUGGGCGUAAAGGGAGCGCAGGCGGGAAGGCAAGUCAGUCUUAAAAGUGCGGGGCUCAACCCCGUGAUGGGAUUGAAACUGUCUUUCUUGAGUGCAGGAGAGGAAAGCGGAAUUCCUAGUGUAGCGGUGAAAUGCGUAGAUAUUAGGAGGAACACCAGUGGCGAAGGCGGCUUUCUGGACUGUAACUGACGCUGAGGCUCGAAAGCGUGGGGAGCGAACAGG